rfam:Mycobacterium sp. GA-2829 GCID_NTM_00013_NODE_6.ctg_1, whole genome shotgun sequence.
GCCUCCGUAGCUCAGCGGAUAGAGCAGCCGCCUUCUAAGCGGUUGGUCGCAGGUUCGAUCCCUGCCGGGGGCG